UACGGGGGAUGCAAGCGUUAUCCGGAAUCAUUGGGCGUAAAGCGCCUGUAGGUUGUUUAGUAAGUCUGUUGUUAAAGACCAGGGCUUAACCCUGGGAAAGCAAUGGAAACUACUAGACUUGAGUAUGGCAGGGGUAGAGGGAAUUUCUAGUGUAGCGGUGAAAUGCGUAGAUAUUAGAAAGAACACCGGCGGCGAAAGCGCUCUACUGGACCAUUACUGACACUCAGAGGCGAAAGCUAGGGUAGCAAAAGGGAUUAGAUACCCCUGUAGUCCUAGCCGUAAACGAUGGAUACUACAUGUUGUGCAUUAUGUACAGUAUGGUAGCUAACGCGUUAAGUAUCCCGCCUGGGGAGUACGCUCGCAAGGGUG
rnacentral:rRNA from 1 species